AGCGUAGGCGGAACUACAAGACAGGGGUCAAAUCUCCGGGCUCAACCUGGAACUUGCCUUUGUGACUGUGGUUCUUGAGUAUGGUAGAGGUUGGCGGAAUUUCCGGUGUAGCGGUGGAGUGCGUAGAGAUCGGAAAGAACACCAGAGGCGAAGGCGGCCAACUGGACCAAUACUGACGCUGAGGCUCGAAAGCGUGGGGAGCAAACAGGAUUAGAUACCCUGGUAGUCCACGCUGUAAACGAUGAACACUAGAUGUCGGGAGGGGUUCCUUCCGGUGUCGUCGCUAACGCAGUAAGUGUUCCGCCUGGGGAGUACGCUCGCAAGGGUGA
rnacentral:rRNA from 1 species